GGUUUGUGGCUUAGUGGUAGAGUGCUUGCCUCACAUGUGUGAGGCACUGGGUUCAAUUCUCAGCACUG
rnacentral:tRNA from 1 species